rnacentral:lncRNA from 1 species
GUUGCCUUUAUUAUAUCCAUUUCUGUAUUCGUACCAGCACCUCGCAAAAUAAUUGUCUCAGCAGACUCCCUUGGGCAAUACUUCACAGACAUGACUGUGCACGCCAGUCACCCAGAGAUCAUGUUAAAAUGCACAUCUGGUUCAGCAGGCCUAGGUCUCAUCCCCUAGGGCUCCUGUAAUCAUUUUUCUUGCCUUCUCUUACAGUUUCUGUAUGUUAUAGAAGUUCAAAGAAGACAAACUCUAGCCAAGAGCAGUGUGAAGAAAAGAAGACGCUAUAUUAAUCACAGUCCAGGGAUGCCUUCUGGCUUCCUGGCAGCAAUUCCGGCCUGAGAUUCCUUCUCUGUGCAUACUUCCUGUCAACAUUGUGUGAUGUCAAGCUGUGGCCGUCACAAAAGUACUGUGAACACCUGUAAAUCCCAACUAUCAAAAAUCACACCCAGGAAUCCAAAUUAGCAUUAUUAUGUCAAAAGAAAAACCUGAUUUCUUCACUGUCUGAUAACUGCUUUCUUUAUUGUCCUAAACUAGCAUUCCCUAACCUUUGAGUGAGAUAGUGACACUUUAGUUUCUUAUAUUCUAAAAUGUUUUCAGGGGCAGCUGGUGGCAGAGGAGAGGGCAGUGGGGAUAGGGCAGGGAGACAGAUACCUGCACAAGGAAGGUAUGGGGAUGAGGUGGGAGUCAAGAUGAUGAACGGAGAGAGGGAUGGUAACCGAUUUAGUCACCCAUUUGAGAGGGUCUCCAGACUUGCACUGCUGGCUAAAGACUCCUGUCCUAAGUGAGAAAGCAUCAUGUCAGGCAGGGGCUCUAUCCCGGUGGUUAUGGGUGGACAUUCUGGAGUGAUCUAAGGAGGCUUCCCGAGUCUCACUGUUGGCUCUCCCUGACCCCUUCUAAAGCUUUCUUUCUAGCUUCUGCUGCCCUCCAGGUAAGCACUCCACAGCCUGUGGAGCUCUGUGGGUAUAGUCUGUCCUUCCCAUAAUGAUUUGCCUCGCUGCAGUAAUUAACAGAAUGACUUCCAAAAUUAAGGGUUCAAAUCUGGCUGUGACACCUACAAUUAUGUCCCCUCUCUGAUUCCUCACCUGCUAAUCCAUGGGGUUGCUGUGAGCACAUGGGAUGCCUCAUGAUACUGCAAGUGGCCACUGCCAGUUGCCUUGAGAAUUACAAGCAGCUCUUGGUGCCUAAUCUGCUCCAUCUCUUAUUCUUCAUAUUCUAUGUAUGUCUUCCUCUGCCACUUACCAGCUGUUGACCUUGGGCAGGUUACUAAAUUUCCUAUGCUUUCUUUUCCCCAUUUAUGUAAGAAUAGCAAUGAUACCUACCUCAAAGGUACUGUAGAUGCUAUAGAUGGAACAUUGGUUUCCUCCUUAAAAUUUACAUAUUGAAAUCUUAACCCCCAAUGUGAGAGUAUUUGCAGGUGGGACCUUGAGAGGUGAUUAGUUCACUAGGGUGGAGCCCACAUGAAUGGGAUUAAUGCCCUUAUAAAAGAGAUCCUGGAGAGUCUUGUCCCUUCCACCCUGUGAGGACAUGGUGAGAAGUGGCCCCUCACCAGACACCAAUUCUGC